CACUGCCAGCCAGAAGGUUCCAGAGCCCCCCAGGCCUGGUCACUCACCAGCCAGAAGGUUCCAGAGCCCCCCAGGCCUGGUCACUCACCAGCCAGAAGGUUCCAGAGCCCCCCAGGCCUCUGGCACUCCACACCAUGCCAGGAAAGGAUUCCUAACUGGGGCCAGACCCCAAGCUCCCAUCCUGGGGAAGGGCUGUUUUCCAGCUCAGCAAGCCAAGCAGCUCUGGGACCCCAUCACCUCUGCCCUGUUCCCCUCCUCCCCCAGAUCUGCCUUGGAGAAGAAGGGAGCUCACGGCAUCUACAGCUGUACUCACAACCCAGAGAGAGAGCGCACGCGCGACAGGAAAAUACUGAAGUAUUUCUACAGAGUAUUUGUUCCAGUUGGCUCCCUCCGCGGCAGGAGACAGAGACUGUA